GAGAUUAAAGAUUUAUCGGUGAUGGAUGGGGAUGCGUCUGAUUAGCUUGUUGGCGGGGUAACGGCCCACCAAGGCAACGAUCAGUAGGGGUUCUGAGAGGAAGGUCCCCCACAUUGGAACUGAGACACGGUCCAAACUCCUACGGGAGGCAGCAGUGAGGAAUAUUGGUCAAUGGACGAGAGUCUGAACCAGCCAAGUAGCGUGCAGGAUGACGGCCCUAUGGGUUGUAAACUGCUUUUAUAAGGGAAUAAAGUGAGUCUCGUGAGACUUUUUGCAUGUACCUUAUGAAUAAGGACCGGCUAAUUCCGUGCCAGCAGCCGCGGUAAUACGGAAGGUCCGGGCGUUAUCCGGAUUUAUUGGGUUUAAAGGGAGCGUAGGCCGGAGAUUAAGCGUGUUGUGAAAUGUAGACGCUCAACGUCUGCACUGCAGCGCGAACUGGUUUCCUUGAGUACGCACAAAGUGGGCGGAAUUCGUGGUGUAGCGGUGAAAUGCUUAGAUAUCACGAAGAACUCCGAUUGCGAAGGCAGCUCACUGGAGCGCAACUGACGCUGAAGCUCGAAAGUGCGGGUAUCGAACAGGAUUAGAUACCCUGGUAGUCCGCACGGUAAACGAUGGAUGCCCGCUGUU
rnacentral:rRNA from 1 species